rnacentral:rRNA from 1 species
UACAGAGGGUGCAAGCGUUAAUCGGAAUUACUGGGCGUAAAGGGCGCGUAGGCGGCCUGUUAAGUCGAACGUGAAAUCCCCGGGCUCAACCCGGGAACUGCGUCCGAUACUGGCAGGCUUGAAUUUGGGAGAGGGAUGCGGAAUUCCAGGUGUAGCGGUGAAAUGCGUAGAUAUCUGGAGGAACACCGGUGGCGAAGGCGGCAUCCUGGACCGAGAUUGACGCUGAGGCGCGAAAGCCAGGGGAGCAAACGGG